CACGUUACAUUUUAACAUAGGACCCCUUAUUUGAUAGCAGCUGCACAAGUCUUGCAUCCAUUGAACUUGUGAGUUUUUGGACAGUUUCUGCUUGAAUUUGUUUGCAAGAUGUCAGAAUAGCCUCCCAGAGCUGCUGUUUGGAUGUAAACUGCCUCCCACCCUCAUAGAUCUUUUGCUUGAGGAUGCUCCAAAGGUUCUCAAUAGGAUUGAGGUCAGGGGAGGAUGGAGGCCACACCAUGACUUUCUCUCCUUUUAUCCCCAUAGCAG